rnacentral:lncRNA from 1 species
UGUUGCAGUUUGACAAAUUUGAAGAGAAUCCGUCAUCAUUUACUCAUUGACUUUGGAGAACAGCCAAUUAUAGAUAUCUAAAUAUAUCCCAAUAAUCUCUUAGUCUCUGAAUAAUGUAUACAGAUAAAUCGAUUAAUAAACAUUUUGUAGGUUAGAAAAAUUUGUACUGCUAGUUGUUAAAUACAAAAUGAUGUUGGUGAGAAGGCCAAUAAGCUCCUUCCCUUGGACAAGGCAGAGGAGCAGGUUGGGCAAUGUAAGUAGGAUAUUGCUGCCCCGGCAUCAACAC